rnacentral:lncRNA from 1 species
GCUCUCUCUGGCAUCCAGACAGAGGGACGGGUGUGCUUCCAAGCCAUGUGCCUUCAUUCAAAGAGACAAGAGUAUCCGCUCAGCUUUGGCCAAUGGUGUGUCACUCUUGAAGUCAGCUGGAACUGGCUCUUUUGUAACAUGGAGCAGCUGCUGGGCUUUGUUCACAAAGGCCACCCCUGCAACUCUCCCAGCUUGGUGUCGCAUGCAAACUUGCUGAGGAUGUAUUCGAUCUUACUGUCAACGUAACUGAUGAAGACAAUAAAGAGCAUCAGUCACAGUAAUGAUUCCUGAGAGAGACCACUCACCACCAAUCUCCAUCUAGACAUUGAGCUACUGACCAUCAUUCUCUGGGUACAAUCUUCAAACCAAUUCCUCGUUUAUUGAACAGUCCACAUAUUAAAUCCAUAUCUUUCCAAUUUGGAGAGAAGGAUGAUUUGUAGGACCCCAUUGAAGGCCUUACAAUAGUCCAAAUAAAUUAUAUCAAUGGCUUUUCCCUUGCCCAUUGGUGCAGUUAUACCAUCAACUUAUGCACUGGUACAGUUAUACCUUUCUAUUUCUUCUUUGUACAAUAUUGACAAGCAGUUUGUUACUGGUGUUUAUGUUCUGAGAUAAGCUUCCGGGAAUACAAGGCCUGGGUUUGUAGGCAUGGUUUUUAUCAUUCUUGUAAAAAGACAUCUCCUAAAUUUGGAGUAGAUGUCUAUUCUAAUCUUAUGGAAUGAAACACUAUAAAACACUGCAAAAAUUCAGUGGAAUAAAUCAUUAUUUCUCCCAGGUGUUUUGCAAGCAUUUUCAGGUUCUUUAAAAGCUUUAAAAUUUUUUGAAAGAUACUUUAGAUUUAAAGACACUGAUGAAUAUGUAGAAAAUAAUCACCAGAAAAAUCACCACAAAUCCAGCUUAAGUCCCAUUAUAUCAGUCCCACUAUGUAAUUCAAUCAGUAUUUGUUACCUGAUUAAAAUAUUUACAUAACUCCUGCAGUUAUGCAUCAUGAGAAGCAAAUAAGCCUGAGAGAAAAGACUAAAAUUACUGUCAAUGUGACAGUUCUUCCAUCUCUCACCUGUCCAUUACCUUUUAUUGCAUUGUCAUUCCCCUAAACUAUUCUCUCUGAAAUAAAAAAUGGCAGGUCUAAAUUUUCCACAUUCAAAUGUAUCUGUGUAAGCAGAAAAUAUGGAACUGAUGAAGGCAUAAACUUGCAAGCAGACAAAUCUGUAAAUGGGAAAAAAAAAAAAAAAAAAAAAAAGGAGGGAAAAAAUAAAAAGAAAAUUAAAAAAUUACUUAAGGUGUCUGAAUUCUAGCCUAACAAAUGAGAGAACAUUAUCUUCUAAGGCAGUCUAAAACAAAAGCAUGUUAAAGAACAACAUGUAGUAAAGAUUACAGCUUAAUAAUGUUUAUUCAUACGGGAUAAGUUGUUAUGGGAUCAUGAGGUCUUUUGUUAUGCUGUGCUUUGCAUAUGCAUGAAAAGUAACUGCUUUCCUGCUGAGAACAGAAGAUCUUCAUAGUUUUGGGUACCAAGGAUUACUUCCUUAAAAUCAGCCAAGCAAAAUUAACUACACAUUAAUUUAAUAAUAUUUUCAUAUACUUAUUUAAUUUAAGGCAGUAAGAGUCAUCUUGAAUACUGGGUGACAAAUAGCUUUCCUUUUCUUCCCAGGUAUAAACAAAUACUGAUAAGAAAUUCUGCUUUUCUUCAAAGAGCUUUAGGUAUUUCAAUUUUACUUUGGUGCCU